rnacentral:lncRNA from 1 species
UGAACUUCAAUUUAACACCUUAGCUAGAGAUGGAUAAAGCAUGCCUUCUGCGAGUCCGGUUUUUUAAAGGAAAAGAAUGUCAACAUUGAAAGUGAAACAAAGGGAAAUUAUCUGAUUGACUGAUUCGAUCCACAAAACAUUCUUAUACAGGUAAAAACGAUCAUGAUUAACAUAUUAUUUUAAAUCUAUAAUAUGAAAUUAAACAAACCUAGAAAACCCAAUUGCACGAGUUUUGCGUUCUUUUUAUAUCUAUAUUUAUGUUUAUAUUACUUAUAUGACCAUCGGAGGUCAACUCGAUAGUUAAUUAGAUGCCUACAAGACUUAAUACACACAAAACGAAGCUGCGUAUUAUCGAGCCCAUGCCCUGAAAAUUGUUUUCUUUAGACUUUUUAUAAUUGGGAUAAUUGUUUUACAAGGUUACUAAUAAAAUAUGAGGAUUUGAGUCCAAUCAAUGAACAUGAAUUUGACAGCUAGUGCCUCUUUAACAGAUAUAAUCAAUCAUCCCUCUUUUUUAAAAUCUUGAUAAAAAAAUAAUGAAAGGUGCAUAAAAACUCUUACAGUGAACUAAUUUAAAAUAAACAAAAACCAUACAAUUACAAAAAUGGAAUUUAGACAUACUCGAGGCUUAUAUUUGUUAUAUUAUCUGUGCAGGAAGUUUAAGUCUGAAAUGGAAAGUUCACGGUUUUGAUGAAAGUUCAACUUGUGAAGUUAAAUUUUCUAUCCCUUUUUCAAAGAUUAGCGGGUUUUCGUUGUUCGUUACUAUUUUGUUUGUUUACUUUUUAAGGAUAUUAGAUUGACAUCGAUUUCACAUUACUUGAUAACACGAAACAACUUAAUUUUGGAUGUAAUACGUGUUCUGAUUGACCGCUGACAGUGUUUUGUCUAUCAUCUCAUAGACAUAAUUUUGUCAUUUGGCCUUGACGUCAUCACCGUAUUUUUCAUGAUUUACUCCGGC